rnacentral:rRNA from 1 species
AGUGAACGCUGGCGGUAGGCCUAACACAUGCAAGUCGAACGGCAGCACAGUAAGAGCUUGCUCUUACGGGUGGCGAGUGGCGGACGGGUGAGGAAUACAUCGGAAUCUACUUUUUCGUGGAGGAUAACGUAGGGAAACUUACGCUAAUACCGCAUACGACCUACGGGUGAAAGCAGGGGAUCUUCGGACCUUGCGCGAUUGAAUGAGCCGAUGUCGGAUUAGCUAGUUGGCGGGGUAAAGGCCCACCAAGGCGACGAUCCGUAGCUGGUCUGAGAGGAUGAUCAGCCACCCUGGAACUGAGACACGGUCCAGACUCCUACGGGAGGCAGCAGUGGGGAAUAUUGGACAAUGGGCGCAAGCAUGAUCCAGCCAUACCGCGUGGGUGAAGAAGGCCUUCGGGUUGUAAAGCCCUUUUGUUGGGAAAGAAAAGCAGCAGGUUAAUACCCCGCUGUUCUGACGGUACCCAAAGAAUAAGCACCGGCUAACUUCGUG